AGCCCUGCAAGAAUCCAAGUAAAUAAAGCUAAACCUUCACUACUGAAAAACAGCUUCUAGACAACUCAUGUAUCAUAUACUUUAUAUCCUUGCAUGGAUUCUCCAAAUCUAGUCUCUGAGAUGCAGAAAAUGAAGUACAACAAAAUCAAGCUCUUCGGCACAGGCUUCCAGGCACCAAGAGAUUUGGGACUAGCAUACAGAUCCACCACUCCACAAACUUACCUUUAUCACAGUUACAUAUUCAGAAUUUUAUAUUUGUACAUCUUAAUGCACCUUGUUUUGUAGGGCUGAUUGGAGUUAAGACUUUUUUUGCCCUCUGGCGACAUUGUAACUGUGAAAGCAAUGGACGAAUAAAGGAGUCAUUAUUCUCCAGUGUGCUAUGUGGUUGAUUGUAACUUAUACAUUUUCAUUCUCAGAAACA
rnacentral:lncRNA from 1 species